rnacentral:rRNA from 1 species
GAGGAUGGCGUCUCUUGGGUAAAAUCUGCUGCUCAGGUGAAAAGCUGGGUGAGCAAACCAGGAUUUAAUACCGCUAGUACUCCCCCGCCAUCAACGAUGUCGACCUGGAGGGUGGUUUCUUGCGCCGUGUGCUCCGGCGCUAACGCGUAAAGCCGCCCCCCCUGGAGAGUACGCCCGCAAGGGUUAAAUCUCAAAUAAAAUUGACGGGGGCGCGCACAAGCGGUGGAGCAUGUGUGUUUUUUUUCGAUGCAGCGCGAAGAACCUUACCUACUCUUGACAUCUCAGAGAACUUUACAGAGAGAGUUUUGUGCCUUCGGGAACUCUGAGACAGGUGCUGCAUGGCUGUCGUCAGCUCGUGUUGUGAAGAUGUUUGGGUUAAGUCCCCGCAACGAGCGCAACCCUUAUCCUUUUGUUGCCAGCGGUUCGGCCGGGAACUCAAAGGAGACUGCCAGUGAUAAACUGGAGGAAGGUGGGGAUGACGUCAAGUCAUCAUGGCCCUUACGAGUAGGGCUACACACGUGCUACAAUGGCGCAUACAAAGAGAAGCGACCUCGCGAGAGCAAGCGGACCUCAUAAAGUGUUCGUAGUCCGGAUUGGAGUCUGCAACUCGACUCCAUGAAGUCGAAUCGCUAGUAAUCGUGGAUCAGAUGCCACGGUGAAUACGUUCCCGGUCCUGGUACACCCCCCCCGCCCCCCCAUAGAGUGGGUUGC